rnacentral:sRNA from 1 species
CAAUUGUACAGGGAAAAUCAAGACCAAUUAAAAUUUUAACUAGAUUAACAAUUAUUGUCUCGGAUCCAUCUCACUGCAAUGUUUUGAGAGCAACUUCUUCAAGGGCCCGGCUCUAUGAUGUUGUUGCAGUUUUUCCAAAGACAGAAAAGCUUUUUCAUAUUGCUUGUACACAUUUAGAUGUAGAUUUAGUCUGCAUAACUGUAACAGAGAAACUACCAUUUUACUUCAAAAGACCUCCUAUUAAUGUGGCAAUUGACCGAGGCCUGGCUUUUGAACUUGUCUAUAGCCCUGCUAUCAAAGACUCCACAAUGAGAAGGUAUACAAUUUCCAAUGCCCUCAAUUUGAUGCAAAUCUGCAAAGGAAAGAAACUAGAAAAACUGCUUUUGGAAUUAUUUCUACAGUGAAGAAACCUCGGCCAUCAGAAGAUGAAGAUUGUCUUCCAGCUUCCAAGAAAGCCAAGUGUGAGGGCUGAAAAGAAUGCCCCAGUCUCUGUCAGCACUCCCUUCUUCCCUUUUAUAGUUCAUCAGCCACAACAAAAAUAAAACCUUUGUGUGAUUUACUGUUUUCAUUUGGAGCUAGAAAUCAAUAGUCUAUAAAAACGGUUUUACUUGCAACCCAUUAAAACAACAAACGAAACCUA